GAUGAACGCUAGCGGCAGGCCUAAUACAUGCAAGUCGAACGGUGUAGCAAUACACAGUGGCGCACGGGUGCGUAACACGUAUGCAACCUACCUUACAUUGGGGGAUAGCCUUUCGAAAGGGAGAUUAAUACCGCAUAAGACAGUAACUAGGCAUCUAGUAGCUGUUAAAGAUUUAUCGAUGUAAGCUGGGCAUGCGUCCAAUUAGUUAGUUGGCGAGGCCAUGGCUCACCAAGACGAUGAUUGGUAGGGGAACUGAGAGGUCAAUCCCCCACACUGGCACUGAGAUACGGGCCAGACUCCUACGGGAGGCAGCAAUAGGGAAUAUUGGGCAAUGGGCGCAAGCCUGACCCAGCCAUGCCGCGUGCAGGAAGAAGGCGUUAUGCGUUGUAAACUGCUUUUAUACAGGAAGAAACGACCCUUGCGAGGGGCAUUGACGGUACUGUAUGAAUAAGCACCGGCUAACACCGUGCCAGCCGCCGCGGUAAAAC
rnacentral:rRNA from 1 species